AUGCAAUGCGAUAACGGUGGCGAAUUUCUUACCACCUCCCUACGCGACCUCUUCUCCCGCUACGGCGCCUCUCUUCGCCUCUCAUGCCCUCAUACAUCACCCCAAAAUGGAAAAGCCGAGCGCCUACUCCGCACGACAAAUGACAUUCUCCGCGUCCUCCUCAUACACGCCGCACUUCCCCCUGCCUUCUGGGUCGAGGCCCUCCACACCGCGACCUACAUUCUAAACCGCCGGCCCUCCACUGCCAUCGCCUCCGAGACUCCCUACUUUCGCCUACUCGGCAAACACCCAACGUAUGAUCACAUGCGCGUUUUUGGAUGCCUGUGUUUCCCUAACACCAUCGCCACUAGCCCCCACAAACUUGCCCCUAGCUCGUCUCGCUGCGUUUUCCUUGGGUAUCCCUUGGAACACAAGGGCUAUCGCUGUCUGGACUUAGCUACUCGCAAGGUUGUCAUUUCUCGUCACGUUACAUUUGAUGAGUCCAUUUUCCCUACCAACCUA
rnacentral:rRNA from 1 species